rnacentral:rRNA from 1 species
UACGUAGGGUCCAAGCGUUGUCCGGAGUUACUGGGCGUAAAGCGCGCGCAGGUGGUCCACUAAGCCCGGCGUGAAAGCCCCCGGCUCAACCGGGGAGGGUCGUCGGGGACUGGUGGACUUGAGGGCGGCAGGGGCUGGUGGAAUCCCCGGUGUAGUGGUGAAAUGCGUAGAGAUCGGGGGGAACACCCGUGGCGAAGGCGGCCAGCUGGGCCGUCCCUGACACUGAGGCGCGAAGGCGUGGGGAGCGAACAGG